rnacentral:lncRNA from 1 species
GCGUCAUUUGGAUGAGGGGCAGCGAAGGAACAGGCGGGAAACGGAACAAUGAAAUAAGAUUAUGGCAGAAUUCAGGAGGAUUAUCACUGUAUACCUCCUGGAACCUUUUCUGAAGGACUUGAUGGUCUGGUCCCAAGACUGCUGAAGGUGUACAAUGCAGCAACCAAAUCUGGAAAGAAGCAGUCACUAAAAAACAUUUUGGACUGCCUUGUGAGAGAUGUAAGUGGAAGAGGGGAUGACUAGAAAAUUAGGCAGCCUUUGUGUUUGUCAUAACAUUCAUUUUACUGCUUGUUUCUUUGUUUUGUAGGACACAAAUGAGAGAAGAAGGGCUGCUGCUCUGCUUGGUCUGCCAUACUACAUACCAGGCGAAGAUCCAUCAAAUGUCAUCAGGAUGUGUGAUUUUCAUGCUGAGAACCUGGAUGAAGCCAUGAGGGAGAUGCAGCUUGGAAUCCUGAUAGGCUAUGAAGGCAAAUGAGGGGCCAUUCCAAACGAGAAGACAAAGAAGGGAAUAAAGCAAAGAAGGGAGGCAUGAAGAAAAAAAGGAGGAAGGGGGGCAUGUUAUUGUUUAACAUGCAUAAAUGACUGGCUUUUGGGUUUGCCAUCUGUUAAAAUUGCAUUCGACAAAGAAUCAAACUGUAAGGUGCUG